GCCGCGCCGCGCCGGGCUGAGCCGCGAAGCCCCACGCGGGGCAGGAUCCCCGCCGUUUACGCUUUGAUUCAUUGACGUCUGGAGGGACCUCCGUGUGCGGGAUCUGUUGGUCCCCAAGACUCUAGCCCAGAGACCCCGAGAGGGCUCUGCUGCCGCCGCCUGGGAAGCCUGUGAUUGUGUUUGCAAGUGAGAAGCUAGGCGUGCUCUGAACCCAGCUCCUGAGAACCAGCGAUGAGCAAAUGCUGCCGUCAUUUUCUUGCCUUUUCCAGCUGAUAGUAAGGCUGGGUAAUCAAGAAUGUCUUGUGCACACAACUUCUGGGAAAGUGGAUACGGCGUGGAAACUAGGGUAUCCUAAUAGGCAGUUGCUAUCUCGCACUGUCAAGAAGGUCAAGAGGUUGUGUAGACCGUCGGAUGUACCUCCCACCGCGUAAAAUGUUCUGAUUUCUAAAAAACUUAGAGAACAUAAAGUCCUACAUUGGACUGACCUGGAAAACAUCAAGACAAAGAGAGUGGGUGAACAUGCCUGCCUGGGGAGCCAGGAAAAACAGCAGAAGCUGAUCUCUAAAGCCACAACCAGUCUUGACUGAAACAGGAGAGAAUGAAGAGGUUUCCUGGCAGAAGAUACUCAUGUGUAGUGUCCAGAGGUUCUGAGAUAAAAAGGAGAAUAGGGUUGAAGAGUGCUAGUGGACUUGGCAUUAGAAGGGCCACUGUUGAUCUUGGUGAGAGCAAUUUGAAUGGCAGAGUGGUGGCAGAAGUGAUGUGUUUCCUACAUAGGAUUUUUCAUAGUAUGAGCGGUGACUGGCAAACUGGGAAGUGUGGUUUGGUUUGCCUGGAUAACGGAAUCUGUUCUGGUCAGUUCUCAUGUUCAACUCUCUGCAACCAAAGAAGCUGCCUGGGUCUGUGCCAUCCUCUUCAGCUACUUCUAAGGAGCCAUGAUCUGAGUGACUGACUGCUCUGUCACUCCUCACAGGAAUAAGUUGUUCUUGCCCCUUAAAUGGUUUCAUGAAUGACAAAUCUAACAUGCAUGGUUGGGAUUAGAAUAGGACUUUUUUCCCCCAUUUCUUCCAAGAUUUAGUGACUGUAAUAAAUAUCAGGUACUGAGUUGGCCAGAACAAAAAGAUGAAUUAAGCACAUUCCCUGUCCUCAAGGGUCUCAAAAGCUAAGUUAAAGAGAUGAAUUAGGAAUAAUGAUCACAAGUCUGUGAGGUUGGCCUUCACACCAUAUAACAAGCGCUGAGCAACCUAAGACAACUGUCUGGUGGUUACUAUGGAAGCCUCUAGGUGUCUCAAUUGACCGAGUAGGAAUGUAAAGAAGAUGGUACUGGACCAACAGUGA